rfam:Schistosoma curassoni strain Dakar, Senegal genome assembly, scaffold: SCTD_scaffold0001968
AUCCAGCUGACGUGUGCCAAAUAGAACGAAACGUGUGUUCUGGAU